AGCCUGAUGCAGCCAUGCCGCGUGUGUGAAGAAGGCCUUCGGGUUGUAAAGCACUUUCAGUAAGGAGGAAAGGUUAAGUGUUAAUAGCACUUAGCUGUGACGUUACUUACAGAAGAAGCACCGGCUAACUCCGUGCCAGCAGCCGCGGUAAUACGGAGGGUGCGAGCGUUAAUCGGAAUUACUGGGCGUAAAGCGUACGCAGGCGGUUUGUUAAGCGAGAUGUGAAAGCCCCGGGCUCAACCUGGGAACUGCAUUUCGAACUGGCAAACUAGAGUGUGAUAGAGGGUGGUAGAAUUUCAGGUGUAGCGGUGAAAUGCGUAGAGAUCUGAAGGAAUACCGAUGGCGAAGGCAGCCACCUGGGUCAACACUGACGCUCAUGUACGAAAGCGUGGGGAGCAAACAGGAUUAGAUACCCUGGUAGUCCACGCCGUAAACGAUGUCUACUAGAAGCUCGGGUCUUCGGACUUGUUUUUCAAAGCUAACGCAUUAAGUAGACCGCCUGG
rnacentral:rRNA from 1 species